CAAUAGCGUAUAUUAAAGUUGUUGCAGUUAAAAAGCUCGUAGUUGAAUUUCUGGUGGGCGCGCUGGUCUUCCAAGUGUUGUACUGGGCGCAGUCCGCCAUCCUUGUGGAGAGGGCUCGCAUUGAGUUGCGUGUCGGAUCUGCAUCAUUUACUGUGAAAAAAUUAGAGUGUUUAAAGCAGGCUGUCGCUUGAAUACAUUAGCAUGGAAUAAUAAGAUAGGACUUCGGUCUAUUUUGUUGGUUGCGAACCGAGGUAAUGAUUAAUAGGGAUAGUUGGGGGUAUUCAUAUUUAAUUGUCAGAGGUGAAAUUCUUGGAUUUAUGAAAGAUGAACAACUGCGAAAGCAUUUACCAAGGAUGUUUUCAUUAA
rnacentral:rRNA from 1 species